GGGUCGUUCUCAGGUAUGGGGGGUGUUAUUUGAACAAAUGGUUCUCCUGCGGUUCUGUCUCUGUCUCUGGGCUGCUCUGACCCCCCGCGUACCUUCAGCCUCAGCUCGCCCACUCCGGCUCCCGGCUCCUCCUUUCUGAGAACCAGGAAGCGGCUUGUCCUACUUACCGCCGCGCGCGGAUUGGCGCUGCCGGAGGUGGGAGACCGCCGGUGGAGGGGAGGGGGGGGCAGGGCACAAGGGAGGAUGGACGGGGUCCGACCGCGGUCCUAUAGGCUGGCAGCGGUGCCAGUCGGAGGCGGGAGGGUUGGGAGGAGAGAGGGGGGAGGACUGUGGCCAUCCUCCUCCUCCUCCUCCCUCCAUGAGGGCAUCACUGCAGAGGUGGGCAGACAGCGGAUUACCUGUCAGGAUGUACACGUCCCCAUUCCAUCUCUUACCCCUUCUCCUCGUGACGCAGCAGGAUCCCACCCAGUCCGGUGGAGGUGACCCAAAACGAUGGAGAAGUGGAGCCAGCAGAGCUCCGAGUAAAGCUGCAGCUCCGGAGCUUCGUUUGAGUUAAACAGAAACAAAACAUGAUAAAUGAAACUCAUAGAGAGGAUGUAUCGCAUCCACUGUGGCGGCGACAUAAAGGGCAACAGAAGGGACUUUUUAAAAGUGACUUUUUGUGAAUCACUUAAGAAAAGAGGCAGUUUUUUUUUUUUUUUUUUUUUUUUGCAUGGGUUGCAACUGCAGCUCUCUCACUGAAAGAGAGAAAUAAACCUGUUUUAUGUGACUGAACAGAAGCCUGGUUUCUUUUCAUUUCUCUGCCGAAAAAGGCAAGAAAGAAAGAAAAAAAACUUUGAAGAAUUGACAGGCCUCUGUGUUUUGAAGUGGUUAUGGGAAUCACCUCGCACUCUCACAGCUUGAAUAUCAUCCCCGCCUGUUGUAGCUGCAGCUCCUGGAGUGUGUGUACGUGGUGGGUUUUUGUAGUGAGGGAGCAGGAAGUCUAUUUAUAAUUUGUGGCGAGCUCAAACAGCCCACCUAUACCCCCUACACACACUCCCCCUCAAACCUAAAAUCUCUGCUUGUUCUGCGGUUGUGCUACCAGAAUAAGAAUUUAAACCCUGCAUGCGCAACAAAUGCGUCAUAAAUGCACUUUUUCUUCCCUUUUUUUUCCAGCUUAUGUGUUAAAAUGAUGGUUCCCAACUUCAGGGUCGGGGCUCGGAAAAAGGCAGCAAGAGAUCAUCAGAGAGCAGCAGAUGCAACCUGAGAGACGGGCGGUCGUGAGCAGACUGAAGCAGGAAGGAUCCUGCUACCUGUCUG